UACGGGGGGGGCAAGCGUUGUUCGGAAUUACUGGGCGUAAAGGGCUGGUAGGCGGCCAACUAAGUCGGAUGUGAAAUCCCCAGGCUUAACCUGGGAACUGCAUCCGAUACUGGUCGGCUUGAAUCCGGGAGAGGGAUGCAGAAUUCCAGGUGUAGCGGUGAAAUGCGUAGAUAUCUGGAGGAAUACCGGUGGCGAAGGCGGCAUCCUGGACCGGCAUUGACGCUGAGGCGCGAAAGCCAGGGGAGCGAACGGG
rnacentral:rRNA from 1 species